GGUUUUUUGAUAUUUUUAAAAGAUUUGGCCUGCCCACUGAUUUAUAGAUUAAAUGGCUGCAGUAUUUGGACUGUACAAAGGUAGCAUAAUCAUUUGUCUUUUUAUUGAAGACUGGAAUGAAUGGUUUGAUGAAAUAUAAUCUUUCUUUAAUUUAAUUGAAUAAUUUGAUUUUUAAGUCAAAAAGCUUAAAUGGAUUUAAGGGACGAGAAGACCCUAUAGAACUUUAUUUAUAAUUUUUUUUGAAUUUUUUAGGUUUUAAAUUUUUCUUAAAUUUUUAUAAAUUGUAUUGGGGUUAUUGAAAAAAUAUCAUAAUUUUUUUUUAUUUUAAACAUUUAUUUUUGUAAAAAUGAUCCAAUUUUAUUGAUUAAAAGAUUAAGUUACCUUAGGGAUAACAGCGUUAUUAUUUUGGAGAGUUCUUAUUGAUAAAAUAGUUUGCGACCUCGAUGUUGGAUUAAAAUUAAUCAUAGGUGUAGCAUUUUAAUGAUUAAGUCUGGCGGACGUUUUUUAACAUUUU
rnacentral:rRNA from 1 species